rnacentral:snoRNA from 1 species
GGUUCGAUGCCACGUCGCCGAUAGCAUAUCGUAGCAGUGACCGGCGAUGCUAUGAUUGAACCGAUAUCGAUUCAAUUUCGCAUUAUAUAGGAACCUAUGGAUGGAUUCUCCAUUCCUUCAUAGAGCCGUUUUGUGUGAUUACAUUU